rnacentral:sRNA from 1 species
ACGUACCCCAAGGUACGCUCCGGUUCCUGCGCUCCGUCCGCCUAGCCUGACACCUGCUCGCUACGCCGUCCGGAC